rnacentral:ncRNA from 11 species
ACAGGUGACCGAGUGGUUAAGGUGUAAGACUCGAAAUCUUAUUGGUUAUCCAUCACAGGUUCGAAUCCUGUUCUGUG